rnacentral:rRNA from 1 species
AGAACCUUACCUGGGCUCGAAAUGUAGUGGACCGGGGUGGAAACAUCCCUUCCCCGCAAGGGGCCGCUAUAUAGGUGCUGCAUGGCUGUCGUCAGCUCGUGUCGUGAGAUGUUGGGUUAAGUCCCGCAACGAGCGCAACCCUUGUUACCAGUUGCUACCAUUUAGUUGAGCACUUUGGUGAGACCGCCUCGGAUAACGGGGAGGAAGGCGGGGAUGACGUCAAGUCCUCAUGGCCUUUAUGUCCAGGGCUACACACGUGCUACAAUGGCCGGUACAAACCGUCGCAAACCCGCGAGGGGGAGCUAAUCGGAAAAAGCCGGCCUCAGUUCGGAUCGCAGUCUGCAACUCGACUGCGUGAAGCUGGAAUCGCUAGUAAUCGCGGAUCAGAACGCCGCGGUGAAUACGUUCCCGGGCCUUGUCACACCGA